rnacentral:tRNA from 2 species
GCGCCCGUAGCUCAGUGGAUAGAGCAUCAGCCUUCUAAGCUGUUGGUCGCAGGUUCGAUUCCUGCUGGGCGCGCCA